rnacentral:rRNA from 1 species
UAAUCAUUUGUCUAUUAAUUGUAGACCUGUAUGAAAGGCAAAAUGAGGGUCUAACUGUCUCUUAUAAUAAAUCAAUUAAACUGAUCUUCCAGUACAAAAGCUAGAAUACCAACAUAAGACCAGAAGACCCUGUGAAGCUUUAACAAACCUAUUAAACCCCCUAAUAACUACUUUCGGUUGGGGCGACCUUGGAAAAAAAAGAAACUUCCAACCAUGACUAAAACUCACAAAAGGCCCACAAGCCUACAACGACCCAGCACAGCUGAUAAUUGAACCAAGUUACUCCAGGGAUAACAGCGCUAUCUUCUUCAAGAGCCCAUAUCAAAAAGAAGGUUUACGACCUCGAUGUUGGAUCAGGACAUCCUAGUGGUGUAGCAGCUACUAAGGGUU